rnacentral:rRNA from 1 species
UACGUAGGGGGCAAGCGUUGUCCGGAAUUAUUGGGCGUAAAGAGCGUGUAGGCGGUCCGGUAAGUCAGCUGUGAAAGUCAAGGGCUCAACCCUUGAAAGCCGGUUGAUACUGUCGGGCUAGAGUCCGGAAGAGGCGAGUGGAAUUCCCGGUGUAGCGGUGAAAUGCGCAGAUAUCGGGAGGAACACCAAUGGCGAGGGCAGCUCGCUGGGACGGUACUGACGCUGAGACGCGAAAGCGUGGGGAGCAAACAGG